rnacentral:rRNA from 1 species
UACGGGGGGGGCAAGCGUUGUUCGGAAUUACUGGGCGUAAAGGGCUCGUAGGUGGCCAACUAAGUCAGACGUGAAAUCCCCAGGCUUAACCUGGGAACUGCGUCUGAUACUGGAUGGCUUGAAUUCGGGAGAGGGAUGCAGAACUCCAGGUGUAGCGGUGAAAUGCGUAGAUAUCUGGAGGAAUACCGGUGGCGAAGGCGGCAUCCUGGACCGAGAUUGACACUGAUGAGCGAAAGCUAGGGGAGCAAACGGG